AGCACAAUAGCUAAUCUGGACCAAACAAU
rnacentral:piRNA from 1 species